GACGAACGCUGGCGGCGUGCCUAAUACAUGCAAGUCGAACGCACUCUCGUUUAGAUUGAAGGAGCUUGCUCCUGAUUGAUAAACAUUUGAGUGAGUGGCGGACGGGUGAGUAACACGUGGGUAACCUGCCCUAAAGUGGGGGAUAACAUUUGGAAACAGAUGCUAAUACCGCAUAAAACCUAACACCGCAUGGUGUAGGGUUGAAAGAUGGUUUCGGCUAUCACUUUAGGAUGGACCCGCGGUGCAUUAGUUAGUUGGUGAGGUAAAGGCUCACCAAGACCGUGAUGCAUAGCCGACCUGAGAGGGUAAUCGGCCACACUGGGACUGAGACACGGCCCAGACUCCUACGGGAGGCAGCAGUAGGGAAUCUUCCACAAUGGACGAAAGUCUGAUGGAGCAACGCCGCGUGAGUGAAGAAGGUUUUCGGAUCGUAAAACUCUGUUGUUGGAGAAGAAUGUAUCUGAUAGUAACUGAUCAGGUAGUGACGGUAUCCAACCAGAAAGCCACGGCUAACUACGUGCCAGCAGCCGCGGUAAUACGUAGGUGGCAAGCGUUGUCCGGAUUUAUUGGGCGUAAAGCGAGCGCAGGCGGUUUCUUAAGUCUGAUGUGAAAGCCUUCGGCUCAACCGAAGAAGUGCAUCGGAAACUGGGAAACUUGAGUGCAGAAGAGGACAGUGGAACUCCAUGUGUAGCGGUGAAAUGCGUA
rnacentral:rRNA from 1 species